rnacentral:lncRNA from 1 species
UCCCCAAAACCUUUGAAACUCUAUGUUCCUCUCUUUUUUGAAAAUAGUUGAGGUGAUGUUGAUAGAGACAGGCUGAAAUUAUGGGUGUGGAGAGAGGAUCGACGAGGGGAGAGGGGGAAAAACCAUCAGAUUUUCUAUUAUCCGGUGGUCUGAGAUCGAUGCGCUGGUGUUGGUUUGAUGGUGUUGUUGAUAUUCUUGGUAUUAUUGUUGCUUCUAUAACGAUUACUGAUGUUGCUGUUGUUUUACGGAUAUAAGAGGUGGUGGACCGGAAUGGGUUGGAGUGCUGGGCUUGAUGGUGCGGUUUUUGGGCUGUUAUUGUGUUGUUAGAUCAGGCCAAGAUUCAAAGGAAAGGCUAGGUUUGGUUGAACUAGGUUUUGGGUGGGGGUUUAAUUGUCAUUGGCCAGGUUUUUUUGUAAUUG